UCUGGCAACUCGGCUUUAAAUCUGGUCGUAGAAAAAAAAAAGUAAAUCUAGCGGAUUUGAAAAAAAAAAGUAAAUGAAGUUUCGCUACGCAUGUUAGUUCUACAGGUCACUAAAUAUAAUAACAAAUUAAUCUUAAUCUCGAGUCAGGUGUUCCUUCAAGCUGCAAGACAAUUAACAUUCAUACCUGGCUUGCUGAAGAUAUGCACU